GGCAGCAACCAUUUGAUUUUCUGGGGGGGGCUAUGGUUUUUUUUUCUGUGCAAACUUUUUUUUUCGCCUGCGGCGAAAAACAAUCUAUUUUUUUCGCGACAAGUCGAAAACAAUUUUUUUCUUUCAACUUUAGCAUUACAUAUAGUGGCAGCUGAGGGUGAAACAAACAAUUUUUUUUUUCUCAGAAUCAAAAACAAAUUAUUUUUUUUCUCCAAAAACUGGAAACAAAUUUUUUUUUCCAAAAAAAACCAUAGCCCCCCC
rnacentral:lncRNA from 1 species